rnacentral:lncRNA from 1 species
GUACAAAAAGAACUUCAAGACACUGAAGAAAGAAAUUGAAGAAGACCUCAGAAGAUGGAAAGAUCUCCCAUGCUCAUGGAUUGGCAGGAUUAAUAUAGUAAAAAUGGCCAUUUUACCAAAAGCGAUCUACAGAUUCAAUGCAAUCCCCAUAAAAAUACCAAUCCAAUUCUUCAAAGAAUUAGACAGAACAAUUUGCAAAUUCAUCUGGAAUAACAAAAAACCCAGGAUAGCUAAAGCUAUCCUCAACAAUAAAAGGACUUCAGGGGGAAUCACUAUCCC